UACGUAGGGGGCAAGCGUUGUCCGGAUUUAUUGGGCGUAAAGAGCGUGUAGGCGGUUAGGUAGGUCCGUUGUGAAAACUCGAGGCUCAACCUCGAGACGCCGAUGGAAACCAUCUGACUAGAGUCCGGAAGAGGAGAGUGGAAUUCCUGGUGUAGCGGUGAAAUGCGUAGAUAUCAGGAGGAACACCGGUGGCGAAGGCGGGUCUCUGGGCGAGUGAACUGACGCUGAGGAGCGAAAGCGUGGGGAGCGAACAGG
rnacentral:rRNA from 1 species